rnacentral:misc_RNA from 1 species
UUAGCGCCAUAUUGAAAUCUUUGUUUUGACAUGCGACAGAUUCAGACUUGAUCUGUUUCGUUUGUAGUUAGCGUUUUGAUUACAGCAAGAUAAAAGUGAAGGUUUCCACUCUAUGGAGAGAUAGACUACAAGGUCAGAGGUCACAAUGAGUUUGCGCCCAAGGCCUGUCACAGCAACAGUCACCAAACCAAAAUGGAUGGAGCCACAAGUUUUUCGACCUCGUUCUUUAUCCUUGGACUCGGGCGGGUCUACUGCAUCCUUGACCUCUGUUCUAGACCACGAUAGCUACAUCAGUCCAAGUCCGAGUGAUGACGAGGAGGACUGGACCUAUGACAAGGAAAACUGUGGAAGGAGUGCGGAGAAUGAAGUAAAGGGAGACAAUAACAAAGAGCACUGUAUAGAUAGAAAGGCCCCUGAAAGGAAAUUGGCAGAGUAUGAUGAAAGUACAUAUACAGAAGUGACAGAAAGUGAGAACAGUCCUGAAGGUAAACUGUCUCCCUGGGAAAAAUGGCUUAUCUCUAAGACAAAAUCAGAACGCAAGUCACGUAAACAGAAGGUUCUAGAAAAGAAAGAACAAAAACAGAAACAAGAGGAGGAGAAACUCACCAAAGAAAAAGACAAAGAGAAAAUAGAAGAAAAUCGUCGAAAAUGGUUAGCAGAAAAACAAGAGAGAGCAAAGCUACGCAGAAAAAUGGAACAUCAACGAGUGAAAAUGGAGGAAAGACUUAAAACUGAACAGGAGAGAGACAUUGCUGAAAAAGCUGAAAAAGAGUUUAAAAAGUGGAAGGUAGAGAAAAAGAAGGCUGAGCGGGAAAAAGAACAGAAAGAACGACAGAAACAACAGGAGAAGGAGCAGAAGCAGGUAGAAAAACAGAAAAAAGCGGAAGAUAAAUACAAGGAAUGGUGUCUAAAGGCUGCCAACAGGCCUAAGUCCGUCCCCAACAGCUUCGGCUACACCUCUGGUAAACUCACAGGGGUGAAAGUAAGAAAAUGGAGGGAGGAAUGUAGCGGAACUUGACUGGGGUCGAUUGCUGGAAACCUGUAAGGUAACUCGCUAGAUCUGAUCCAAUCAAAGUCAGGUUACCAUGACACCAGUGCCUACCCUCCCCCCUCGUUCUACAACCCUCUACCCUGGCACCACAACCC